ACUGAAGAAAGUUAAGGAGAAAUAAAAAAAUCUACAGGAUGUAUUAUACAGUACACAAUAUAAAAUAUUUUUCUCUCAAGAAUCGAACUCAUGGGUCACAGGUCAAUUGACCGACGGACUCGAAUAAACGAAAUGGCAACGUCGCACUGCAUAUCGAUAUGAGAUGCCUUCAAUGCUAUUUUCAAUUCCUAUAUGUGUAACAAUCGAUAUCGCUGGUGUACUUAUAUUAUAUCGGCUACCCUUACAAGAUAAUUCAAAUUAAUUAUUCUAUAAAUAUAAUAAUUAUCGCUGACAAAAAAAAGAAGAAAUAAUUAUCUAGAAAAUAUUGAGUCUUGAGUUAUAAAGUUGGCCCAAUAGUUUCUCAGUAUUUGGAUGUGCAGAGGAGAGUGCAGCCGAUCAUUGGUUAGGUGUGGCUUGGCACGCUAUUCCUCUAUUAUCUGCCGUCUAACGAGUAAUAUAAAACGAAUAAAUCUAAAUAAUGAUGAUGACUGCGACAGACAUAAGUAUACAUGCUCAUUCCAACUCUGAUGUGAUAUGAUAUAAAUGAAGUCAUAUAAUAUGUAUGUACACCUAUUAUAUCUCCAAGUUGAGCGUUGAACCACGCCAGAGAAUUAUUGACUGGUUAUAACUAGAGAGCCAUUGCAGCCUCUUCGUAUCGGUGCUAUGCUAAAAAGUGCUUGAUCUCCAUUUCAUAGUGCUACUAUUAUAUACCAGAAUCGAGCUGUAUCGUCUAUGUACAUAUAAAGUAAAUAUUGAGUUAUAUUAUAUAUGACAAUAAUACGUACACAGGAUACACAAUAGGACUGUACAGAGAUGCUGAUGAGAGGCGUCAGGCCAACAGUACAGAUAGAUUGUAAUACAAUGCGUCGCGUUAAUUAUAACCCUGUUAAUGUAUGCUGAUAAUCCAUCCAGUUGUUUCUCUACUUAUU